UCUGCUAAGUUAGAGAAAAACAUGGCCGACAGGCAGGGGCGGCGUGUUGUAAAACGAUUACAUUCUUGUAAAAUUCGUGUGAAAACGAAGUCGACUACUGGAAAGAAGUUCUCUAGAGCUAUACCUCUAUUAGCUAAUAGAUAUUCUCGUCUGUCCGAUAACACUCCUGGCACAAAUGUGAACACAGAACCAGAUGUAUUUUCCUCGGAAGACUUCAAUGACAAUGUAGACACUUUUGACAAAACUCACAAAACCACAUAUCCAUCUCUGUCUAAGCAUCAUCAACGCCGCAUUAAGAGAACAAUAGUUGGAACGCCAUAAGGCAAAGUCUCUUAGAAGCUCGGCUUGAAGAAGAAGCAUUUGAUUCUGAUACUGAAAGAUGUGUAGCGUGUCAGAAGAAUCAUGCAUGUUGUCGGUGUGUGGAAUGUGGUCGAAGGCAGUAUUUUUGUCUUGAUUGUGCAAAAUCAACCCACGAAUAUCGAAAUUAUUUCCAUCAACUGGAAAUAUUUAAGGAUAGCUGUUUUGUGCCAUUAAUGAUGAAUCACUCUGUGUUGUCUUUGCCUCAUCAAAAAAACUGUCCUUGUGCAGAAGGAAGACUUGUUAUGUGUAUAGAUCAGAAUGGUUACCGGCACAAAAAAAUGGUUUUGUUCUGUCCGUGUGAAGAUGAUGCUGUAUAACCCUUGUGAAACUACAAUUAUGGCCUGGUUCAGCAACACGACCAUUAGUUGCUUUCCACUUCAAACUUUUGAUGAUGGCUGAAGCACUUCUAUUGGAGUGUCAUGUAUCUCUUAAGAAGUUUUGUGAUAUGUUGAAGUUAAAUAAAUCAAACAUGCUACCGAAAUGGGUUAAAAAUGUUUAUAAAGUAUUAAACAGCGAUUUGUUUGAUGAAUUUCGGUAAAUAUUUUAGUUAUAUUUCAUUAAAUCAAAUAGUAGUGUUAUAAUACAAGCUGUGCAUGCUUUGUGUCUAAUUGAUGCAGUACAUUCAUACCAAUCAACUAUUAGUGGCAUUAAUGUUUGCUAUCCACAUGUGUAGACAUUUGUGAAAUAUAGUUUAGUGUUUAUAUUAUACUUAACCUUUACAUUUAUUCUUUUACAUAUUGUAGGUAUUACCAAUACUUAUUUAGGACUAUGAGACCAUAUCUUCCAGAGCCUACCCUUGAUAGGGAGUGUCCUCUUUGUCCUGAUAUGAGUGUGCAGUAAAUAUUUUUUAAUGUAAUUUGAUUAAGCACAAUAGACAUAAAUUAUAUGUGCUUAAGAGCUAUUUGUAACAACAUUUGCAUGAAAACAGUGAAAACAAAAUGGUAGAAUUGCCUAUUAUACAUUUAUAAUAACGUCCAAAUAUUGUAAAUUUUAAUUUCCAUCACAGUAUGUGUUUGCAUUGAAUAUUUAUUUCAAAGCUUUUCAACUCAUAAGAACGGAUCACGACAUGAUAUAAGGAUUAUACUUAUACUACUACCAUAAAAAAUAACUCCAUCAAUCUCAUUGAACAAACAUUGUUUCAUUUCAUCAAGGGGAAAACAGAUGGUACUCCACUUGAAAAUGUCAUGAUCGAAUCUAUGGAUGGAUAUUUUGGGCUGACCAGAAAAAAAUCAGCUGGUGCAAAUGUAAUUCCUCCUAGGCACUGUGAUACCUUUUUUGCCAGUUGCAGUGAAGUGGACAGCUAUGUUGACGACUAUUCUAGAGAUGCUAAAGAAGCCCCCACGGUUAAAAAAUUAACUAAUCUUUUCAAAUUUUAAA